rnacentral:rRNA from 1 species
GAUGAACGUUGGCGGCGUGCCUAAUACAUGCAAGUCGAACGGAGAUUGUAGUAAUACGGUCUCAGUGGCGAACGGGUGAGUAACGCGUUGGUGACCUGCCCCGAAGUGUGGAAUAACAGAUCGAAAGAGCCGCUAAUACCGCAUAAUAUCCAGAAGAUUAGACGCUUUUGGAUUAAAGGAUUUAUUCGCUUCGGGAGGGGCCUGCGUCCCAUCAGCUAGUUGGUAAGGUAAUGGCUUACCAAGGCUAUGACGGGUAGGGGACCUGAGAGGGUGGCCCCCCACAAUGGAACUGAAACACGGUCCAUACACCUACGGGUGGCAGCAGUAGGGAAUAUUAGUAAUGGGCGAAAGCCUGAACUAGCAACGCCGCGUGUGCGAAGAAGGCCUCGGUUGUAAAGCACUUUUAGUAGAGGAUGAGGAAGGACGGUACGUCUCAGAAUAAGUCUCGGCUAACUACGUG